UUGGUCAGCGCGUUCGGCUGUUAACCGAAAGGUUGGUGGUUCCAGUUCCACCCAGGGACG
rnacentral:tRNA from 1 species